rnacentral:misc_RNA from 1 species
UCCCCGUUACCGGGGCAGUCUGAUUAGAAAAAUCCAACUAAUCACAAGGGUUGCGCUCGUUGAUGGACUUAACCAAACAUCUCACGACACGAGCUGACGACGGCCAUGCAACACCUGUCUCUACGGCCCGAAGGCACUUCCUCCUUUCGGAAGAAUUAGUAGGAUGUCAAACCCUGGUAAGGUUCUUCGCUUACCAUCGAAUUAAAGAACACACUCCACCGCUUGUGCGGGUCCCCGUCAAUUCCUUUAUGUUUUAAGCUUGCGCUCGUACUCCACAGGCGGGAUGCUUAACGCGUUAGCUUCGCUACAUCGCGGGUCGAUACGCAAUACAGCUAGCAUCCAUCGUUUACGGCGUGGACUAA